GUGCUCGCUUCGGCAGCACAUAUACUAAAAUUGGAAUGAUACAGAGAAGAUUAGCAUGGCCCCUGUGCAAGGAUGACAUGCAAAUUUGUGAAGCGUUCCAUAUUUAU
rnacentral:snRNA from 1 species